rnacentral:rRNA from 1 species
UGGGGAAUAUUGGACAAUGGGCGGAAGCCUGAUCCAGCAACGCCGCGUGAGGGAUGACGGCCUUCGGGUUGUAAACCUCUUUCAGCACAGACGAAGCGAAAGUGACGGUAUGUGCAGAAGAAGGACCGGCCAACUACGUGCCAGCAGCCGCGGUAAUACGUAGGGUCCGAGCGUUGUCCGGAAUUAUUGGGCGUAAAGGGCUCGUAGGCGGUUUGUCACGUCGGGAGUGAAAACCAGGUGCUUAACACCUGGCCUGCUUCCGAUACGGGCUGACUAGAGGUAUUCAGGGGAGAAUGGAAUUCCUGGUGUAGCGGUGAAAUGCGCAGAUAUCAGGAGGAACACCGGUGGCGAAGGCGGUUCUCUGGGAAUGACCUGACGCUGAGGAGCGAAAGUGUGGGGAGCGAACAGG